rnacentral:rRNA from 1 species
CACGUAGGGUGCGAGCGUUGUCCGGAAUUAUUGGGCGUAAAGAGCUCGUAGGCGGUGUGUCGCGUCGGCCGUGAAAACCUGCAGCUUAACUGUGGGCGUGCGGUCGAUACGGGCAUCACUGGAGUUCGGCAGGGGAGACUGGAAUUCCUGGUGUAGCGGUGAAAUGCGCAGAUAUCAGGAGGAACACCGGUGGCGAAGGCGGGUCUCUGGGCCUGACCUGACGCUGAGGAGCGAAAGCGUGGGGAGCGAACAGG